CUCCAGGUCAAAUAUGGCUGGUGACCAUUCCGCAGAGUCCAUGGUAUGAGUGAAGUUCACAGCUAGAAGCUGACAGAAGAGCUUCUAGUAUUGUAACUUUUCACCUGUUAGAAAGUAUCCAGAAUUCUGGCUCAAGAAACUGGAAUCAACCUAGAUGUCCUUCAACUGACGAAUGGAUAAAGAAAAAUGUGGUAUAUCUGCAUUCAUCUAUAUUCAACUAUGAAAAACACCGGCACCACGAAUUUUGUAGGCAAAUGUAUGGAUCUUAAGAAUAUCACACUGAGUGAGGUAACCCAGUCUCAAAGGAACAUGCAUGAGUUCAAGUCUUGGAACCCACAUUGGCUGGCUCACAACCACCUGUAACUCUGAAGAGAUAUUGGAAAACAAAUAUACAAUCACAAAACUUAAGGCUGGGAUCCUCACAAUACCUUACUUGAAAAAAUACUGGAAAGUUACAGUAAGCUAAACAGCCUGGUACUGGCACAAAAAACAAAAAACAAAAAACAAAUAAACAAACAAAAACCAAACAGAUACACAAAUCAAUGGAAUAGAACUGAGAACCAGAAGGAAUAUAUAUUUAUGCACCCAACUGAUUUUGUUUGUCACAUGCAUACAUUUAUUUGCUUGUUUGUUUGCAUGCCUCUGCAUGUGCUUAUGUCAUGUGCAAACGUGCAUAGCUUGGUCCCUAGUUGUUGACAUUUUCAGAGGGAGGCUUAGAAGAUGUGGCCUUUUUGGAGAAGUAUGUCACAGGAGGUGAGCUUUGAGAGUUUAAAACCUCUCAUCGGUUUCCAUUCACUCUGUCUCAUGCUUGCAGUUCAAGCUAUGAACCCUCAGCUUCCUGCUCCUGCCUUGAUGCUUCACACCACCAUCGUGGAUUCACCCCUCUCAGACCAUGAGCCCAAAUAAACCCUUCCUUCUCCAAGUUGCCUUGCUCAUGGUGCUUUAUCAUGGCAAUAGAAAAGUAACUGAUGCAAUAGAGAGCACUCUUCUUACACAGAUACACUAUUUGAUGCUUUGAAUAAUAAUUUUUAAAAAUUAUGGGCUGGAGAUAUGGCUCAGUGGUUAAGAGCACUGGCUGUUCUUCCAGAGAACCCCGAGUUCAAUUCCCAGUGACCCCAUGUUGGUUCACAGUCACCUGUAAUAGGAUCUGACGCCUUCUGUCAUGCAGGUGUACUUUCAGAUACAGCACUC
ensembl:lncRNA